rnacentral:rRNA from 1 species
AGACUGCCAGUGAUAAACUGGAGGGAAGGUGGGGAUGACGUCAAGUCAUCAUGGCCCUUACGACCAGGGCUACACACGUGCUACAAUGGCGCAUACAAAGAGAAGCGACCUCGCGAGAGCAAGCGGACCUCAUAAAGUGCGUCGUAGUCCGGAUUGGAGUCUGCAACUCGACUCCAUGAAGUCGGAAUCGCUAGUAAUCGUGGAUCAGAAUGCCACGGUCGAAUACGUUCCCGGGCCUU